rnacentral:rRNA from 1 species
CCCUUAGAUGUCCUGGGCCGCACGCGCGCUACACUGAUGCAUGCAACGAGUUUAUAACCUUGGCCUGAAAGGUCUGGGUAAUCUUUUGAACGUGCAUCGUGAUAGGGAUAGAUUAUUGCAAUUGUUAAUCUUGAACGAGGAAUUCCUAGUAAACGCGAGUCAUCAGCUCGCAUUGAUUACGUCCCUGCCCUUUGUACACGCCGCCCGUCGCACCUACCGAUUGAAUGGUUCGGUGAAGAUCUCGGACUUCGAUAUUUAUUCUUUAUUGAGUUUAUAUUGUGGGAAGUUAUCUAAACCUCAUCAUUUAGAGGAAGGUGAAGUCGUAACA